rnacentral:rRNA from 1 species
UAAAUCAGUGAUAAUCUAUUUGAUUUUCUCUCCCAUUGGAUAACCGUGGGAAAUCUAGAGCUAAUACGUGCGGUACAUUGGCGUACUUUCGGGUACGUCAAAGCAUUUAUUAGACUAAACCAACUAUUAUGCGUGAGCAUAGUAAGGGGAAUCUAGAUAACUUUGCUGAUCGUAUGGCCUAGUGCCGGCGACGUUUCAAUUGAGUUUCUGCCCUAUCAACUUGUUGGUAAGGUAUUGGCUUACCAAGGUUGCAACGGGUAACGGGGAAUCAGGGUUCGAUUCCGGAGAGGGAGCCUGAGAAACGGCUACCACAUCCAAGGAAGGCAACAGGCGCGCAAAUUACCCAAUCUAGACAGUAGGAGGUGGUGAAGAGAAUUACUAAAUGGUGGUCCAUAGGAUCACUUGUUUGGAAUGAACGUAACUUAAGAAAUUCGUUGAGAAACAACUGGAGGGCAAGUCCUGGUGCCAGCAGCCGCGGUAAUUCCAGCUCCAGUAGUUUGCUUUAAAGUUGUUGCGUUUAAAACGCUCGUAGUUGGAUCACGCAGCGGUAUUCAGUAAUCUAUUGUUAGGUGUCAUUGGUUGUUUCCGUCCCGUACGGCCAACUGGUGGCGCUUGCAUCAGAUGCCAUGCUGGAUGCCGCUAGUUGCACGUGAGAUAGAUUGUUGGCCUUUGGUGAGCCGAUAUUCUGGUCUUGCGGGGUGUGCCUUGAAUAAAACAGAGUGCUUAAAGCAGGUUAUUGCCUGAAUGUUAUAGCAUGGAACGAACAAUCGUGUAUGUGUGUGCGUCUUCAGACGGUUGUUAGCUUUUGGUUGACAGUUGUUUGGGAUGCACACGGCACCCACCAAAAUAUGGCUGUUGGUUCCAUAUACGGUGAUGAUUAACAGGAGCGGUUGGGGGCAUCAGUAUUUGUCCGCGAGAGGUGAAAUUCUUAGACCGGACAAGGACUAACAAAUGCAAAGGCACUUGUCUAGACCGUAUCCAUUAAUCAAGAACGAAAGUGGGAGGUUCGAAGACGAUCAGAUACCGUCAUAGUUCCCACCGUAAACUAUGCCGACCUGGGAUCAGUUUAGAGAUGUUACAAGCUCUAGAUUGGUCCCCCUGGGAAACCUAAAGUUUUUCGGUUACGGGGAGAGUAUGGUCGCAAGGCUGAAACUUAAAGGAAUUGACGGAAGGGCACCACCAGGGGUGGAGCCUGCGGCUUAAUUUGACUCAACACGGGGAAACUUACCUGGUCCGGACAUCGAUAGGAUUAACAGAUCAAUAGCUCUUUUAUGAUCCGAUGAGUGGUGGUGCAUGGCCGUUCUUAGUUCGUGGAGUGAUCUGUCAGCCUAAUUGCGGUAACGAACGAGACCACAGUCUCCAUUUAAGAGAUGGAAGAAGACGCGUGGAUGGGGAGACUCUGGUUUCCUAGUCUAUGUGUUGCAGGAAGAUCGGUGUGCUCUUUGGUGAGUGUAGUGGGGCAACUUGCUGCAUUUAUCAUGGAGUGUGCUGUUUCUCCCUUUUAUCGCGCAGCAGUUGGUUUCGACUGGCUGUUGUCUUAUGGAGAGACAACGAGGUAUAAACAAGCUCGAGGAAGAGUGGCUAUAACAGGUCAGUGAUGCCCUUCGAUGUUCAGGGCUGC